UCCGUACAGCCUAUCACAGUUGCACCUUAACGCUUCCAGACCUUUGGGUCUUAGAGGCGUUGAAGGUUCCCAGAGUCUCCUGGGAAGCUGCCGACACCCCUGGAGAGGGAACCCCCCUAAACUGUUAGAAGCACACGCCCGCCCGGGGAUACAUUGGCCGCCCGUGCGUGAAGCUGGGCCUGGAGCACAAGACCCAGGAUGGAGAACAGAGGCCAAAGAAGGGGAAUGACUUGUACUAAGGGCGUUGCCCUCAGGCUCACUGCCCUCAAGGCUCUGAGGACAACUUCCAAAUGAAGAAGAAGUGGCAUCUUUCUACCAAGAAGAAAACCCUUCUCAGAAGCCCCCAGCAGGCUUCCUCUUGUGUUUCACUGGCCAGGAAUAUAUGAACCAUCAGUGAGAAAACAGGACCACCAUGACUAGCUUGGAAUCGCCUUAAUCCUCCUUUGGUGCUGGGCAUGCCUCCCUUGAAGCACUGAGCCUCUGGAAAGGUAGGUAAAGGCUACAUGGGGGCCCUGAUGGGAGGCAAAGUCCAAAAAUAGUGGGAAUCCAGUGCAGUUUUUAAAAAGAAAGCGAUUUGAUUGGAUCUGUGUCUUUUUAAAGGACAUGCCUUGGGGAAUAGGAAGUCAGGCAUGAAGUCAGAAAGACCAGAGGGGAUUGCCUGCUUCCAGGAGAUGAGGGCUUAAAUGUCUCCUAUCUGCCCCUCCAGAUCCUUUCUCCACCUUUCUCCCUGGCUCUCUGUAGCCCUCAGAGAUUUGCCUACCUGGGCCACAUUAAAGGCUCCUGUAUCCUAGGCCUUCCAGCCGUUCAGCCAGUGGGCAGAACUGAGAGAACAGAGGAGGGAGUGAGAAUGCAUUUGGGGUGUUUAUUCCCCAGUUCGCUCUACCGUGCCCACACCUAUGUAACUAGUCCUUUAUUAGACCUUCCUCCAUUUGACCCAAAUUUGAUGUGUCAUCCACUUCCUGCUGGGACCCUGAUUGAUUCAGGUAACAAGGGAUCAUGUUGUCAAGGGACCCCUGGCA